GUGCUCACAUUAGCAGCAUAUUGGAACUAACUUUGGAAAGAUACAGAGAAGAUUAGUAUGACCCCUGGGGAAAGAUGACAUGCAAAUUCAUAGUGUUCCAUAUAAGU